rnacentral:rRNA from 1 species
GUGCCAGCAGCCGCGGUAAUUCCAGCUCCAAUAGCAUAUAUUAAAGUUGUUGCGGUUAAAACGCCCGUAGUUGGAUCAGCGGAUUUGGAGAACGGUCUGCCGAUGGGCUGUACUGUUCUCCUGUCCUAUUUUCUCUAGUUCGCUCUAGGUGCUCUUCACUGAGUGUCUAGAGUGGCUGGAACUUUUACUUUGAAAAAAUUAGAGUGCUCAAAGCAGGCGUCUCAGCCUGAAUAGUGGUGCAUGGAAUAAUGGAAUAGGACCUCAGUUCUAUUUUGUUGGUUUUCGGAGCAUGAGGUAAUGAUUAAGAGGGACAGACGGGGGCAUUCGUAUUGCGACGUUAGAGGUGAGAUUCUUGGAUCGUCGCAAGACGAACUACUGCGAAAGCAUUUGCCAAGAAUGUUUUCAUUAAUCAAGGACGAUAGUUAGAGGUUCGAAGGCGAUCAGAUACCGCCCUAGUUCUAACCGUAAACGAUGUCAACCAGCGAUCCGCAGGAGUUAUUCAUGACUCUGCGGGCAGCUUCCGGGAAACCAAAGUUUUUGGAUUCCGGGGGGAGUAUGGUUGCAAAGCUGAAACUCAAAGGAAUUGACGG